rnacentral:rRNA from 1 species
GCUUUCCCUCCAGAGUGGAUCCUGAGUACGGCGGAACACGUGAAAUUCCGUCGGAAUCCGGGAGGACCAUCUCCCAAGGCUAAAUACUCCCUAGUGACCGAUAGUGAACCAGUACCGUGAGGGAAAGGUGAAAAGCACCCCGGAAGGGGAGUGAAACAGUUCCUGAAACCGUGUGCCUACAAGUAGUUAGAGCCCGUUAAUGGGUGAUAGCGUGCCUUUUGUAGAAUGAACCGGCGAGUUACGAUUUGUUGCAAGGUUAAGCGGAAAAAGCGGAGCCGUAGCGAAAGCGAGUCUGAAUAGGGCGCAUAAGUAACAGGUCGUAGACCCGAAACCAGGUGAUCUACCCAUGUCCAGGAUGAAGGUAAGGUAAUACUUACUGGAGGUCCGAACCCACGCACGUUGAAAAGUGCGGGGAUGAGGUGUGGGUAGCGGAGAAAUUCCAAUCGAACUUGGAGAUAGCUGGUUCUCUCCGAAAUAGCUUUAGGGCUAGCCUCGAGGUAAAGAGUCAUGGAGGUAGAGCACUGUUUGGACUAGGGGCCCUUCUCGGGUUACCGAAUUCAGAUAAACUCCGAAUGCCAUGUACUUAUACUCGGGAGUCAGACUGCGAGUGAUAAGAUCCGUAGUCGAAAGGGAAACAGCCCAGACCACCAGUUAAGGUCCCCAAAUAUAUGUUAAGUGGAAAAGGAUGUGGGGUUGCUUAGACAACCAGGAUGUUGGCUUAGAAGCAGCCACCAUUGAAAGAGUGCGUAAUAGCUCACUGGUCGAGUGACCCCGCGCCGAAAAUGUACCGGGGCUAAACAUAUUACCGAAACUGUGGAUGAACCUCUUUAGAGGUUCGUGGUAGGAGAGCGUUCUAAGGGCGGUGAAGUCAGACCGGAAGGACUGGUGGAGCGCUUAGAAGUGAGAAUGCCGGUAUGAGUAGCGAAAGAAGGGUGAGAAUCCCUUCCACCGAAUAUCUAAGGUUUCCUGAGGAAGGCUCGUCCGCUCAGGGUUAGUCGGGACCUAAGCCGAGGCCGAUAGGCGUAGGCGAUGGACAACAGGUAGAGAUUCCUGUACCAGUGCUAAUUGUUUAACCGAUGGGGUGACACAGAAGGAUAGGGAAUCGCACGAAUGGAAAUGUGCGUCCAAGCAGUGAGUGUGAGAAGUAGGCAAAUCCGCUUCUCGCGAAGCAUGAGCUGUGAUGGGGAAGGAAAUUAAGUACGGAAGUUCCUGAUUUCACGCUGUCAAGAAAAGCCUCUAGGAAGAGUAGUACUGCCCGUACCGCAAACCGACACAGGUAGAUGAGGAGAGAAUCCUAAGGUGAGCGAGAGAACUCUCGUUAAGGAACUCGGCAAAAUGACCCCGUAACUUCGGGAGAAGGGGUGCUCUAUUAGGGUGCAAGCCCGAGAGAGCCGCAGUGAAUAGGCCCAGGCGACUGUUUAGCAAAAACACAGGUCUCUGCAAAACCGUAAGGUGACGUAUAGGGGCUGACGCCUGCCCGGUGCUGGAAGGUUAAGAGGAGUGCUUAGCUUCGGCGAAGGUACGAAUUGAAGCCCCAGUAAACGGCGGCCGUAACUAUAACGGUCCUAAGGUAGCGAAAUUCCUUGUCGGGUAAGUUCCGACCCGCACGAAAGGCGCAACGAUCUGGGCACUGUCUCAACGAGAGACUCGGUGAAAUUAUAGUACCUGUGAAGAUGCAGGUUACCCGCGACAGGACGGAAAGACCCCGUGGAGCUUUACUGCAACCUGAUAUGGAAUGUUUGUACCGCUUGUACAGGAUAGGUAGGAGCCGAAGAGACGUGUGCGCUAGCAUACGAGGAGGCAAUGGUGGGAUACUACCCUGGCUGUAUGACCAUUCUAACCCGCCACGCUUAGCGCGUGGGGAGACAGUGUCAGGUGGGCAGUUUGACUGGGGCGGUCGCCUCCUAAAGAGUAACGGAGGCGCCCAAAGGUUCCCUCAGAAUGGAUGGAAAUCAUUCGCAGAGUGUAAAGGCACAAGGGAGCUUGACUGCGAGACUGACAAGUCGAGCAGGGACGAAAGUCGGGCUUAGUGAUCCGGUGGUUCCGCAUGGAAGGGCCAUCGCUCAACGGAUAAAAGCUACCCCGGGGAUAACAGGCUUAUCUCCCCCAAGAGUCCACAUCGACGGGGAGGUUUGGCACCUCGAUGUCGGCUCGUCGCAUCCUGGGGCUGUAGUCGGUCCCAAGGGUUGGGCUGUUCGCCCAUUAAAGCGGCACGCGAGCUGGGUUCAGAACGUCGUGAGACAGUUCGGUCCCUAUCCGUCGCGGGCGCAGGAAAUUUGAGAGGAGCUGUCCUUAGUACGAGAGGACCGGGAUGGACACACCGCUGGUGUACCAGUUGUUCCGCCAGGAGCAUCGCUGGGUAGCUAUGUGUGGCAGGGAUAAACGCUGAAAGCAUCUAAGCGUGAAGCCCCCCUCAAGAUGAGAUUUCCCAUUUCUUCGGAAAGUAAGAUCCCUGAAAGAUGAUCAGGUAGAUAGGUUUGGAGUGGAAGUGUAGCGAUACAUGGAGCGGACAAAUACUAAUCGAUCGAGGACUUAACCAA